GUGGGGAAUUUUGGACAAUGGGCGCAAGCCUGAUCCAGCAAUGCCGCGUGCAGGAAGAAGGCCUUCGGGUUGUAAACUGCUUUUGUACGGAACGAAAAGGCUCUGGUUAAUACCUGGGGCUCAUGACGGUACCGUAAGAAUAAGCACCGGCUAACUACGUGCCAGCAGCCGCGGUAAUACGUAGGGUGCAAGCGUUAAUCGGAAUUACUGGGCGUAAAGCGUGCGCAGGCGGUUUUGUAAGACAGAGGUGAAAUCCCCGGGCUCAACCUGGGAAUUGCCUUUGGGACUGCAAGGCUGGAGUGCGGCAGAGGGGGAUGGAAUUCCGCGUGUAGCAGUGAAAUGCGUAGAUAUGCGGAGGAACACCGAUGGCGAAGGCAAUCCCCUGGGCCUGCACUGACGCUCAUGCACGAAAGCGUGGGGAGCAAACAGGAUUAGAUACCCGAGUAGUCC
rnacentral:rRNA from 1 species